rnacentral:rRNA from 1 species
GACGAACGCUGGCGGCGUGCUUAACACAUGCCAGUCGAACGGAAAGGCCCUGCUUUUGUGGGGUGCUCGAGUGGCGAACGGGUGAGUAACACGUGAGUAACCUGCCCUUGACUUUGGGAUAACUUCAGGAAACUGGGGCUAAUACCGGAUAGGAGCUCCUGCUGCAUGGUGGGGGUUGGAAAGUUUCGGCGGUUGGGGAUGGACUCGCGGCUUAUCAGCUUGUUGGUGGGGUAGUGGCUUACCAAGGCUUUGACGGGUAGCCGGCCUGAGAGGGUGACCGGCCACAUUGGGACUGGGAUACGGCCCAGACUCCUACGGGAGGCAGCAGUGGGGAAUAUUGCACAAUGGGCGGAAGCCUGAUGCAGCAACGCCGCGUGCGGGAUGACGGCCUUCGGGUUGUACACCGCUUUCGCCUGUGACGAAGCGUGAGUGACGGUAAUGGGUAAAGAAGCACCGGCUAACUACGUG